rnacentral:rRNA from 1 species
UACGGAGGGGGCUAGCGUUGUUCGGAAUUACUGGGCGUAAAGCGCACGUAGGCGGCUUGGUAAGUCCGUUCUGAAAGCCCGGGGCUCAACCCCGGGAGGCGGAUGGAUACUGUCAAGCUUGAGUCCGGAAGAGGCGAGUGGAAUUCCCGGUGUAGCGGUGAAAUGCGCAGAUAUCGGGAGGAACACCAAUGGCGAAGGCAGCUCGCUGGGACGUGACUGACGCUGAGACGCGAAAGCGUGGGGAGCAAACAGG